CCUACGGGUGGCAGCAGUUAGGAAUCUUGGACAAUGGGCGCAAGCCUGAUCCAGCCAUGCCGCGUGAGUGAUGAAGGCCUUAGGGUUGUAAAGCUCUUUCAGCGGGGAAGCGGUACCCGCAGAAGAAGCCCCGGCUAACUUCGUGCCAGCAGCCGCGGUAAUACGAAGGGGGCUAGCGUUGCUCGGAAUCACUGGGCGUAAAGCGCACGUAGGCGGCUUUCUAAGUCAGGGGUGAAAUCCUGGAGCUCAACUCCAGAACUGCCUUUGAUACUGGGGAGCUCGAGUCCGGAAGAGGUGAGUGGAACUCCGAGUGUAGAGGUGAAAUUCGUAGAUAUUCGGAAGAACACCAGUGGCGAAGGCGGCUCACUGGUCCGGACUGACGCUGAGGUGCGAAAGCGUGGGGAGCAAACAGGAUUAGAUACCCUUGUAGUC
rnacentral:rRNA from 1 species